rnacentral:pre_miRNA from 1 species
GAAGUACUCCCUCCGUUCGGAAUUACUUGUUGUAGAAAUAGAUGUAUCUAUAAUUAAAAUACGUUUAGAUAUAUUUAUUUUUAUGACAAGUAUUUCCGAACAGAGGAAGUACGUU